AGUGAACGCUGGCGGUAGGCCUAACACAUGCAAGUCGAACGGCAGCACAGUAAGAGCUUGCUCUUACGGGUGGCGAGUGGCGGACGAGUGAGGAAUACAUCGGAAUCUACUUUUUCGUGGGGGAUAACGUAGGGAAACUUACGCUAAUACCGCAUACGACCUACGGGUGAAAGCAGGGGAUCUUCGGACCUUGCGCGAUUGAAUGAGCCGAUGUCGGAUUAGCUAGUUGGCGGGGUAAAGGCCCACCAAGGCGACGAUCCGUAGCUGGUCUGAGAGGAUGAUCAGCCACACUGGAACUGAGACACGGUCCAGACUCCUACGGGAGGCAGCAGUGGGGAAUAUUGGACGAUGGGCGCAAGCCUGAUCCAGCCAUACCGCGUGGGUGAAGAAGGCCUUCGGGUUGUAAAGCCCUUUUGUUGGGAAAGAAAAGCAGCAGGUUAAUACCCCGCUGUUCUGACGGUACCCAAAGAAUAAGCACCGGCUAACUUCGUG
rnacentral:rRNA from 1 species